AUUUGUUCCAAGAACUCAAGUGUAAACUCCCUUGUCGUCGCGCCUGUAUCCAUGGUAAUAUAUCCUAGGAUUGACUAGGUCCCUGUUGGACGUGUCUCUCUGAUAAUAGGGAAGCAUAUAUAUGCAUAACUUCCUACAAAAAUAAAGACAGACUUUCAAGAAAAAAAUAAACGUGUUUUGCGCAAAUAAGGAAGAAAAAGAAAAACAAACGUAUAUAUACGCAAACAAUUUUAGGUUGAGAGAAAAUAGACCUUCCUCUCGCCCCUGCGAUGCGAUGGAUACCGAGGGCGCGGAACGCGGCCCUUUCCAAGAGCGCGAAGAACAACGCUACCCGGCAGCAAGGGGCAAAGGGAUCCAGCAUCUUCUUCCCCGCCGCCGGCGAGGGGAACGCGAUGGUUAGGCUUACUGAGGCCGCACGGGUGACGACGAGGAAGAUGAGCGCAGAUCUGGGGAAGCAUACGGCGGCGUCGCCGGCAGGUUCGACGACGGCGGCGAACUGGAUUCCAGAAGCUCCGCGGUUUGAGGUUGGAUUUGUGUUUGGAGGUUCAGAGGGUAGUCUGCACGUACUCGCACUAGUUCUCAGUUGAAUGACAGUUUUUUUUUUCAUAUAUAAGCUACUGCAGUGAAAAUUUAGUGGUCAAAUUAAUUACUCUAAUAUCCAAAUUAAUUGACACAGCCUCUGCACAAUCUAAAUAAUAUUCUAAAGAGUCAAUUGCACUGGUGGUGCUACAACUUAGCGUAAACGAUCACUUUGGUGCUAGAAGUUGUGGUAUGCAUUAAAGUGGUGCAAAAACUUGACAUUAACGUGCAAAUACGGUGCUUAUCUCGUUUAUGUACGGAGUAGGUGCUGACUAGGCACAUGGGGCCCACCGUCAGCCACUCUACCAGAGAGAUGGGGCAUGUGACCUGAUUUUUUCAAAAACACCCUCGAAAUAUUUUUUCAAAAAAAUCCCUGUUGACUGGGAAGAUUUGGUCACCUCUAUGAGAAGUGGGUCCCGCAUGUCACCUGAGACAGAAAACUAAAUGCCAGAUGUGGCCGGUGGGGAUCUAACACACAGCAUCAUCCACGCAAAUGAGCUGGCAAACCACUGCACCCAUUAAGUUUUCUUCCGCCAGUACGGGUAAAAACGUCAUAUGUAUUUUUAAUCACAGCGCAGGCGGAGGUUAAACGGGCUGCAGAUCUUGCGGCUUCUUCUGUACCUGUUAGUUUAUUUAUUUUUCUGUAGAAAGUAUCAAAAUUAUAAGUGUUUUAAAAAAUCUAAAUUAUAAUCUCAGUAAUAAACAUAACAAACGAAUAUUUGUGUUUAUAAAUAUUGUACAUGCAAACAGAAUAAAUUAUUUUAUAAAAUUGUUCAUAUAUUAUUUAAAAAAUACUAUGAAUUAUAACAGUGUUUGCAUAAUUUAGAAUUUAAAAAGUUAAAUUACAAUUCAUAAAAUUAUUUUAGGUAUACAACAUUUCAAUGAUUAUAUGCACGUUUGUAUAGUUCAAUGUUUUUAUAACUAAAAAUAAUGAUAAUUUAUAAUUUAAACUGCUCAUAUGAAUAUUCAUUUUCUAUAAUUUAAAUAUAAGCUGUGACUGUAUAAUAUUUAUGUAUUCGUUAAAUAUUUUAAUUUUAUUAAAUGUCUGUAUUAACUAAAUAUUUUUUAUAUCAUGCGAGGAUGUACAUUUAAAUGUUAUUAUUUACUAAUAAUCAUUUUCAUGUAUAAUAUUUGUAUCACACAAAUAUUUGAACAUAUUUUUUAUUAAUUAUGUUUUACAAAUAAAUUCUAAAAAGGAACAGGUGUAGAAUGGCCGCACUAUCUGCAGCCCAUAAAAGAUCCUCAUGCUUUCAGUUUAGUACAUAUAGCUUUCUUAUCCAAAUUAAACAAGAGAUCUUGUUGGCGUACUAGUUAGCCUUGUUGUGGCUUCUUGUCGGACAUGGCUUCGAGUCCAGCCGGCCUCACUUUUGAUUUAAUUUUCACUCUUGUCUGAUAGGUGGGACCCACUCCUCAUAGAGGUGAAAAAAAUGCCACUCUCCCAUGUCAACAGGGGCUUUUUUGUGAAAAUGUAUAUUUUGAGGGUGUUUUCCAAAAAAUCAGGCCACACACCACUUUUCUCUCGUGCAAUGGCUGACAGCGGGCCUAACGCGCCUAGUCAGCACCUACUCCGUAAAUAAACGAGAUAAGCACCGUAUUUGCACGUUAAUGCCAAGUUUUUGCACCACUUUAAUGUACACCACAACUUCUAGCACCAAAGUGACCGUUUACGCCAAAUUGUAGCACCACCUGUGUAAUUGACUCUAUUCUAAAGAAUAUUUGCAUUCUCCAAUCUCACUAGUAUCAAAAGCUAUGGGAAAAAACCGACUCCCUCUCAUGUGCCGCCACCUAGGCCCCACCAUUGUCGUGGGUAUCUACCUCAUGGUGGCGGCGGCCCCCUACUGCCUAAAGGUAAUGGGGGGGAGGCCCCCUUUUCGUGGUGGCGUCGGUGCCUCCCGGGUUCGGAUUGGGGUGGCGAUGGUUAUUGCCCAACAUAGGCAUGUCGGGGCGGCGGCCACGGCAUUGUAAUGGCGGGGAUGUGUGCGCACUAAUGAUCCUGGCAUUGUGGCUGCAGACUAGGGUCCAAGCCCAAAUCUAGCAAGGUUGGUGGCGUCCGUGGCACAGGUUGGCUGGGACAUAUCGAUUCCGACCGGCGCCUGUUGAUACAUCGUCUUUUCUGGUGUGCUAUGAAUCAUAAGCCAAUCAGAGCAUCAUGCUCGGAUUUGGUGGAUGUAGGCUGUCCAUGUGCUGUGACGAUUUGGCAACCCGAGUUUCAAGGCUCUCGCGCAAGUUUAGUCUUCAACGAAGGUCAAUGCCGGCAAUGGUGGUACGCGAGGGCGUCUUUCUCCCACUCAAAGGCAUUGUCGAAGAGUGCUUCAUCUCCGAUCGAUUGUUUUUGUUCGACAUUACGGUUGUCGUAAAUGCUGAUUGGUGUGGCUGGACCCUUACCCGUGGUUUGGUUGGGUGGUCAUGGGCAGUUCUAAGUGAAAGCUUGAAUCUUAGAUAUGGGCGACCCUGACGCGCCCCAUAGGUUGCAUCUCCGUAGAACUCGCCUACUACCCUCCAGAUAGUGGUCAUGUUGGUGGUCGAGCUCGAGUUGGGUCGACGUAGUUUUCUUGUUUUCUUUGUUCUUUGUUGCAUUUUAUCUUAUUUUUUCUUAUAAACCAGAUCAACUCUUUGUUUUUUGCCUUUUCCUAUCUAUAUGAAAUUACUGGAGUUUACUGCCCUUGAUUUCAAUUCAAAAAUCUCUCUAGAAAAGGGGGGCCAGGCUGCUCCAAUUUGAGGCUAGCUAAGAGUUUCUCUCAAGCGGUUCCCUCAAAAAUCUUUCCCUAUAAGUGUGUUUAAGGGCUAUCCCAAUAAUUUUAUUGGGUUUCACGGCUGUGCGGCUGUAGUUAGUAUUCCCCUAUACACCUGUCAGUGGUUAAAAUUUCUCUCUCUCUCUAGCGUGGCUGAGGUGGUGCGGCGCUGGUCCGGCGGUCAUUGGCCGUGGCGCGCUGAUGUGACAUGGUUGAAAAAUAUAGAAGAGACUUGCUUGCUCCCCGCGCGUGCGCGCAUCCGUGCUUCCGCGUAUGUGGCUUGAUUUGAUUGGAAAAAAUAUGGCACGGCCCCACCCUCUUAAAAUCAGGAGGAAAAAUGAUUAAAUUAGAAAGAAAAAAGGAAAAAAAAAGCCAUGGGAUGAAGUGAAAGCACGGAUGGGAGCAUAAGCCGGAUCCAAAAAAUAUAUAGGGAGAUAUUGCAUCUCUCCCUUUGAGAAGAGAUACGAUGUUUCUUGGGAGAUCCUAGAUUCUUCGGGUUUAGGGAAACUGCUGGAGCAGAUUUUUGCUUCAACUCUUCCGAUUUGUUUUCUUUAAUAGAGGAACAGUUGAAUAUGCUCUUAGGAAAUAAGCCUGCCAGUGACAACACUGCUGGAGCAGGUUUUGCUUCAACUCUUCCGAUUUGUUUUUUAAUAGAUGGACAGUUGGAGAUGCUCUUAGGAAAUAAGCCGGCCAGCGACAAGGCAGAUUGAGGCAAAUAAUCUACCUAGGGCAUAUCUAAACAUACCCUAAUUAUUGCACAUCUAAAUGACCCAACCACACUACAAAGAAAAAGAAAAAAAAUGCCUGCACAAAUCUUUAUGUAAAAUCAGUGGUAUAUGACUUAGAUGUGCAAUACUUAAGGCAAAUCUAGAUAUGCUUUAGUAAAACUGAUAAACAAUUGGUUACAUUUGGUCACGGAACCGGUGAUAGAGAACGGGAGUUUAAAGAACAGAAAACAUUUAACCUUUUUUUUUGGUGGGGGAGAGAUCAAUUUCUACAGCCCUCUUCUGUGGCCCUGUCCCGUGUUAAUUCACACAGGAUGAGAGAGCUGGUCAAGCUUUCGGUGCUAAUUGUCACCACACGCAUCAGAUACGCGUUUGAGACUAAUAAUCAUCUUCCAAGCCGAAUUCCCCAACAAACUCCCACCUAUGAACCUCCACCCCUUGUUCCAGACAUUGCCAAACACGAUGUAGGUAAAAAUUAAGCAAGAGUAUGCGUACACUUUGGGCUAACCUUCGGUGCAGGGGGGAUGGAUUGAAGACCUGCUGCUUGCGGGAAGAGAAACUUUGUAGCGGAUCUGGCCCGGGACCAAUCGGCCGGCUUGCUUGUCGACCAGAAAGCUUCUGGAGUCCACGAGCUCGUCGAACGGAAAGAGAUAUGGAGCAGAUCCAGCGAGCUUGUUGCGCUCGUUGACG
rnacentral:lncRNA from 1 species